GAUUCCUACGGGAGGCAGCAGGCGCGAAAAUUGCCCAAUCCCGAUACGGGGAGGCAGUGACAAGAAAUAACAACUCUCAACAUUCGUUGAGAAGUGUAAUGAGGAUAAUUUACAAACCUUACCGAAAGCAAUUGGAGGGCAAGUCUGGUGCCAGCAGCCGCGGUAAUAAU
rnacentral:rRNA from 1 species